GGAAGUUGCUGGUGCAGCUCUGGCUGGAGUCCAGAUGAAACUGCUGAACAGACACUUUCACCACCUCCUGAGAAGGAGCAUCCAGCACCCAGCGGCAAGAAGCGAACGGCGGGUGGCAUUGAAGCCACGGCGUUGAACGGUGCCGUCCGAGAUGAAGUGCACGGUCAGGAAAUUACUGGCCGAGACGAAGGGGGCAGGUACUACAUCUCCACAGAAUGUGCCAACCAGUGGAUAAAUAGCACUGUCACCAUCAUAGAUCUAGAGACGGCAAUGGUCCACAUACAGUCCAUACGUGGCUCAUACUGACCAUUCAUGUCAAUAUCAGGAGAACCAAACGUUCCGGUGGGGGAAGACAAGUAACCGCCACAGCCCUGCUGAGGACCUGGAGCAAGCGAUGGAUGAGGAGAUAGAAAGAGAGAGUUGCAUUGAAGCCUCUGCCACUCACGACGGCAUCAGAUGUGAAUCGAACGGUGACAGCGUUACCUGUGCUGGCCACAUGCAGAGGGUUAUUGGGAGGGCGUGUGGUGCAGAGCUGGGCCAAUCGUGGGGAGGAGAGGUCAGGCCCUCCGUACACCUGGAUAAAGGUCAAAGUGCUACAAUGGAGGUCAGCAUUCCACAGGUCUACGCUACAAAACAUACACCCACAGAGCCCAGCAGAUGCCAACGGGGCAUGAGCAGGCACAUACCCAUAUAAACACACGCUUGAAUUUUGAUCUCAUAAUGAUGGAUGGACAAGUGAGCCAUUGUGACUGUAGUGGACAGAAUAUCACCUAACACUUAUUAAAGCUUGUCAUAGUUGCAGUCAGGAUGAUAUUCCACGUCAAACUCAAGGAUGGUGAUGGAAAUGCUACUUCCAGGGCUUGUUUGGAUGUGCCAGAUGCACUCACGGUUUGCGGGGUAUUUGUUUGGAUAGCCUGGGCUGGU